GAUGAACGCUGGCGGCGUGCCUAAUACAUGCAAGUCGAACGAACAGACGGGGAGCUUGCUCUCCUGACGUUUGCGGCGGGCGGGUGAGUAACACGUGGAUCCCCCACCUAUAAGACUGGGAUAACUUCGUGAAACCGGAUCCAAUACCAGAACAUAUGUUGUACCGCAUGAUUUACUAGUGAAGUACAGUUUUAUCGUUACCUAGUGCUGGUUCCCCGUCGCAUCAGCUAGGUGGGAAGGUAACGCCUAACAAAGGCAACGAUCCGUAGCCGACCUGAGAGGGUGAUCGGCAACACUGGAACUGGGACACGGUCCAGACUCCUACGGGAGGCAGCAGUAGGGAAUCUUCGGCAAUGGGCGAAAGCCUGACGGAGCAACGCCGCGUGGGUGAGGAAGGUCUUCGGAUCGUAAAACUCUGUUAUUGGGGAAGAACAGAUGUGUAAUUAAAUAUGCACGUCGUGACGGUACCUAAUCAGAAAGCCACGGCUAACUACGUG
rnacentral:rRNA from 1 species